GUUCGGUGUGUAUUUCAAAAUUGCCAUCUUUUCUCUCUCUGCAUUGGAAGCAUAAUGGGAUUUCUUCACCAAUCUUCAGCACAAAAAUCUGGUGGGGUUCCUGGAGAUAAUAAAGGCUACUAUAAGCUUUAUAGAUUCAACAUGCUUACUCUCAGCAUCACCCAGGAUGAUCUUGUACAGUACAAAUCAGAAAAUGGGAUAUUAAGGCUCAACACCAUGUGGAAGCUGCCAAGGCAUGGGGCUUGCAUGCUCUGAAGCCACACCCGAGCUGUUCUUGACCCCUUUUAGUCAU